UAGAUGAACGCUAGCGGCAAGCUUCAUACAUGCAAGUCGAGGGGCAGCAUAGAUUGCUUGCAAUCUGAUGGCGACCGGCGAACGGGUGCGUAACGCGUAUGCAACUUACCUUUUACUAGGAGAUAGCCAAGAGAAAUUUUGAUUAAUAUCCUAUACAAUUAUUUUAUCGCAUGAUAAAAUAAUAAAAGCUCAGGCGGUAAAAGAUAGGCAUGCGUCCUAUUAGCAAGUAGGUGAGGUAACGGCUCACCUAUGCUACGAUAGGUAGGGGUCCUGAGAGGGAGAUCCCCCACACUGGUACUGAGACACGGACCAGACUUCUACGGAAGGCAGCAGUAAGGAAUAUUGGACAAUGGAGGCAACUCUGAUCCAGCUAUGCCGCGUGCAGGAAGACGGCCCUAUGGGUUGUAAACUGCUUUUAUACAGGAAGAAACCUGCUCACGUGUGAGCAGCUGACGGUACUGUAAGAAUAAGGAUCGGCUAACUCCGUGCCAGCAGCCGCGGUAAUACGGAGGAUCCAAGCGUUAUCCGGAAUUAUUGGGUUUAAAGGGUCCGCAGGCUGUUUGUUAAGUCAGAGGUGAAAUCCUACCGCUCAACGGUAGAACUGCCUUAGAUACUGACAAACUUGAGUUAUUGUGAAGUAAUUAGAAUGUGUAGUGUAGCGGUGAAAUGCAUAG
rnacentral:rRNA from 1 species